UACAGAGGGUGCGAGCGUUGUCCGGAAUCACUGGGCGUAAAGGGCGCGUAGGUGGCGCAACAAGUCAGUGGUGAAAGCUCGACGCUCAACGUCGAGUCGGCCACUGAGACUGUUGGGCUUGAGCACUGUAGAGGCUAAUGGAAUUCCGGGUGUAGCGGUGGAAUGCGUAGAGAUCCGGAAGAACACCGGUGGCGAAGGCAGCUUGCUGGGACGGUACUGACGCUGAGACGCGAAAGCGUGGGGAGCAAACAGG
rnacentral:rRNA from 1 species